rnacentral:misc_RNA from 1 species
UUCCAAUCACAAGGACUAGAAUUAAGAAGAUGCAAGAGUUGAUUGAGGAAGUAGUUGCACAAGAAGCUAAAUAUGGAGAUACAAUUAACAAAUUAGGGUUACAAGAAGAUGGAAAGUGGCUUAAUUUGAUCCAAGUUUGCGUGGGAGAUGAUCAAGAAAUAUUUGGACAUAAUUGACAGGUUUUUACACAAAUUUAGUCAGUUUUUUUUUCUAAUUUAGCACAGGUUUGAAUAUUUUUAUUUAAUUAUUUUUUAUCAAAUUUAUAUGUUUUCGACCUUAUUUAUGUAUUUUUGGCCUUAGGUAGGAGUGCAGCCCACUCCAGCUUUUUUAUUAGUUUUUAGGGUUUUUUUUUUUUAAUUACCAUUUUAUUAUUUUAAUUUUUUUGAAUCGUUUAUAUAUUAUUGUUCGCUUAUUUUUGCAGUAUUAUUAAUAUUAUCAACUUUAUUCAUAUGGAGAAGAAAAUGCUAAGCAGCGAUACAAAGCAUCUCUUCUUCUCUUCUAUAGACAGGAAGUGUAAACGACGUGAUUACAUGAUGACCAUAGCCAUAGGCUCCAGCUUAGCACUUGAUUUUUUCAUCCAUGUCUUCAUAACAGCAUAGCAGUCUUCUCAACAAGAUCCCAUGUGUUUCAAACUUUCACGUCCUCAAUGUUGGAAGUCAUAGAAUAAUACUGCAUAGCAGUAUCUUAUUCACUACACCUGUUUUAUUUCUGUGAAAAAUUUUACAAUGUACAAACCCAUCUCUCCAUCAAAAGUUGUCUACUAUAAUCUUUCAAAUAGCUUACUGCAACAUAACAUAAACUCAUCCUAACUUGAGGUUUUGAAGUAUGAAAUGCCUGUUAGACAAAGCCAUAUCCAUGGUGUCUUUCGGGCUUCUGUUUGUCAUCCUUCUUCGCUAGUAACUAAUGAGGUCCAACAAUCGCAGGCAUAGUGCUCCAUUAUGGUUGCACUAAAAACUCUCCAUAAAUUCCCCAUGAAUUUACUAGAAAACUCCAAAAAAUGUGGCAACAGCAAAAACAAGGAAAAGCACUCCACCCAAGUAGCCAACCAGUUUUUCUGAAAUGUAGCUGGCAAGAAAGGCUCCUCCUAGAAUUGCAAUAGAUGUUGCAACCAGGUGUCCAGCAAUUGCUCCAGUUGCCACACCCCAUGGAGACUGUAGAAAAAGGUGAAAAAAGGAAGUUGCUUUCAGAGAAAUUUUGAAUAAUUGAGAGAAUAAAUAGUUAUGAUACAGUCAAAUUGAUGCAGUUAAACCUGUGCAGCCCCAAGAGCAAUUGUUGCAAGCAUUGAGCGAUCUCCCCAUUCCUAUAAGCAAUCACAACAUAGUAAAAAUUGGAACAUGAGCCCCAAAACUUAACAUUUUAAUUUCAUGCUGAAAUUGCAUGUUAUUGUGUAUAGAUAAUGGAAGUUCCAUCUAAUUUAUUAACUUAAUAUAAAAGGGAAAAAAAGAAGAAGAAAAACAAAGAGAUUUUAUUUCUUUAACUUGAUGUUUUUGGCCGAAAACAAGGACAAAGACACUUACAGCAAAGAAUACAAGGCUAAAUGACUUCCAGACAAUCUCAAAUGGAUUUGUGAGCCUUUUUGAGACCUGAAAACAUAAGAAAGCAUCAGCCAUUAUAAAAUUUUGGAUACAUCCACACAAACAUGUAAAUUAGCACAAAGUACAAUCUUCCAACAGUAAAAUCACUGAACAAAAUAUGCUAUGCAUAAUUUUUCACAAUCCAAUAAUAUAUACAUGAAAUAUCAGAACUUGUAAGAAAAAAGUCUCGAGGCAGGGAUCCCAAGUUAGAGAAUUACUUUUUCUUUUACAAGUUCCUCAGCUUCAGCAUAUUCAUCAAGUUUGGGACUGCUCUUGUCACCACUUUUAACUUCACUCGAUGGAAGAUCCCAAGCAUCUUUUAUUGAUUUGAGCCCAAAGAGCAUUAGAAGAGUUACAGCUGCAUAUCCUCCGAUUGGAAGGGUUGUUUGGAACUGAGCAGGCACUGAAUGAAAUAUCCGUCCAAUUACAACUGACAAGAUUGUCAUAAGUGAAAGAGCACCCAUUGAUCCCAGAAGAACCAGUCCUUUCUCAUAUUGCAUAGCCAAUAGCGCAGCAAUAAAAAAUGUCUUGUCCCCAAUUUCAGAAACAAAUAUUAACGUGAAUGCAGCUGUUAAUCCUGACUUUGCAAUCGCUGCUAAGAUAGAUGAAGGACCACCUUUCACAAAGGCAAUCAAUGAAAAGACUAAAGCGCAUCCAAAUAGCACAAUAGCUAUAGAUAUAGGAUAUGGGAUUUUGCUGGGAGAUUUCACAAUUUCCGAUGAGCUGUCACUGGAUGGACCAUUAACAAAACUUUUCUGGUUGUCUUGCUCCUCCCGACCUUCAUAGCCCCCAGAUCCAAUACUAACAUUAGAUGCUUGUGGUCUAAGUCUACCAAAAGAGGAAUUGAACCUUGAGAUUUCUCUGUAUCUUAGAGAAGGAGAAAUGGAUUUUCUAGAAAUGCAAGCGAAACAUGGCAAUGAAUCCACCAAAGCCAAUAAGGGAGGCUUCCCCCUCGAAAUGAAUGGUGUUCUUUGAAAACUCAGCCCCUGCAUAGUUUAUCUUCUUUUGUCCUCCUUUUCCUUUCCUGGGUUCUCAAAAACAGUGUUCACCGAUUCAUUUUCAGCUCCGUACUCGAAUGGGUAUCUAUUUUGAGAUUCAAAUGGCGAAAUUCUGGUGUUAUGCUGCUUCGGCCUUGGAGAGAAACAGAAGAGUUUCGGUACUGAAAAUUUCAUUUGGCGCUGGGAGUAU